CCGAGAAUAUUCGACAAUGGGCGAAAGCCUGAUCGAGCGAUACCGCGUGGUGGAUGAAGUGCUUCGGCACGUAAACACCUUUUAUGGAGGAGGAAGUUAUUGACGUUACUCCAUGAAUAAGGGGCUCCUAACUCUGUGCCAGCAGGAGCGGUAAUACAGAGGCCCCGAGCGUUACCCGGAAUUACUGGGCGUAAAGAGUGCGUAGGUGGUCGUAUUAGUCGUCUGUCAAAACCUGGGGCUCAACCCCAGAUCCGCAGGCGAAACGGUACGACUCGAGAGCGUGAGAGGUGAAUGGAACUCAUGGUGUAGGGGUGAAAUCCGUUGAUAUCAUGGGGAACACCGAAAGCGAAGGCAAUUCACUGGCGCGUUUCUGACACUCAAGCACGAAAGCGUGGGUAGCGAACGGGAUUAGAUACCCCCGUAGUCC
rnacentral:rRNA from 1 species